AAUCCAUAGGUUAAUGAGGCGAACCGGGGGAACUGAAACAUCUAAGUACCCCGAGGAAAAGAAAUCAACCGAGAUUCCCCCAGUAGCGGCGAGCGAACGGGGAGGAGCCCAGAGCCUGAAUCAGCAUGUGUGUUAGUGGAAGCGUCUGGAAAGGCGCGCGAUACAGGGUGACAGCCCCGUACACAAAAGCGCAUGUGCUGUGAGCUCGAUGAGUAGGGCGGGACACGUGGUAUCCUGUCUGAAUAUGGGGGGACCAUCCUCCAAGGCUAAAUACUCCUGACUGACCGAUAGUGAACCAGUACCGUGAGGGAAAGGCGAAAAGAACCCCGGCGAGGGGAGUGAAAAAGAACCUGAAACCGUGUACGUACAAGCAGUGGGAGCACCCUUCGGGGUGUGACUGCGUACCUUUUGUAUAAUGGGUCAGCGACUUAUAUUCUGUAGCAAGGUUAACCGAAUAGGGGAGCCGGAGGGAAACCGAGUCUUAAUUGGGCGUUAAGUUGCAG
rnacentral:rRNA from 1 species